CCUACGAGCGGCAGCAGUGAGGAAUCUUGGUCAAUGGGCGCAAGCCUGAACCUGCCAAGUAGCGUGAAGGAUGGCUGCCCUACGGGUUGUAAACUUCUUUUAUACAGGAAUAAAGUGCGGCACGUGUGCCUUUUUGUAUGUACUUUAUGAGUAAGGAUCGGCUCACUCCGUGCCAGCAGCCGCGGUAAUACUGAGGAGCCGUGCGUUAUCCGGCUUUAUUGGGUUUAAAGGGAGCGUAGAUGGGUUGUUAAGUCAGUUGUGAAAGUUUGGGGCUCAACCGUAAAAUUGCAAUUGAUACUGGCAGGCUUGAGUACAGGUGAGGUAGGCGGAAUUCGUGGUGUAGCGGUGAAAUGCUUAGAUAUCACGAAGAACUCCGAUUGCGAAGGCAGCUUACUAAACUGCAACUGACAUUGAUGCUCGAAAGUGUGGGUAUCAAACAGGAUUAGAUACCCUUGUAGUC
rnacentral:rRNA from 1 species